rnacentral:rRNA from 1 species
UACGUAGGGGGCAAGCGUUAUCCGGAUUUACUGGGUGUAAAGGGAGCGUAGACGGCUAUGCAAGUCUGAAGUGAAAGCCCGGGGCUCAACCCCGGGACUGCUUUGGAAACUGUAUGGCUAGAGUGCUGGAGAGGCAAGCGGAAUUCCUAGUGUAGCGGUGAAAUGCGUAGAUAUUAGGAAGAACACCAGUGGCGAAGGCGGCUUGCUGGACAGUAACUGACGUUGAGGCUCGAAAGCGUGGGGAGCAAACAGG